UGGCGUAAGCCUGCAUGGAGCUGCCAUUGGCACAGAUCUUGGUGGUAGUAGCAAAUAAUCGAAUGAGACCUUGGAGGACUGAAGUGGAGAAGGGUUUCGUGUGAACAGUGGUUGAUCACGAGUUAGUCGGUCCUAAGUUCAAGGCGAAAGCCGAAAAUUUUCAAGUAAAAAAUCAAUAAGCAUAUAUUGUCAAUUCUUUAAUGAUUUUUUUGAAACACUUGAAUAAUUUUGAACGAAAGGGAAUACGGUUCCAAUUCCGUAACCUGUUGAGUAUCCGUUUGUUAUUAAAUAUGGGCCUCGUGCUCAUCCUGGCAACAGGAACGACCAUAAAGAAGCCGUCGAGAGAUAUCGGAAGAGUUUUCUUUUCUGUUUUAUAGCAAUACUACCAUGGAAGUCUUUCGCAGAGAGAUAUGGUAGAUGGGCUAGAAGAGCAUGACAUAUACUGUUGUGUCGAUAUUUUCUCCUCGGACCUUGAAAAUUUAUGGUGGGGACACGCAAACUUCUCAA
rnacentral:rRNA from 1 species